rnacentral:tRNA from 1 species
GGUCCCGUAGCUCAGCUGGAUAGAGCGGCUGCCUUCUAAGCAGUUGGUCAGGGGUUCGAGUCCUCUCGGGAUCG